ensembl:miRNA
GUAGAUGCUGAAUUGAAUUGUCAUAAAUACAAGGGUAUGCUUUUGUGUUGUUUUUUGUUUUGAUGAGGUAUUCAU